rnacentral:rRNA from 1 species
UGGGGAAUCUUCCGCAAUGGACGAAAGUCUGACGGAGCAACGCCGCGUGAGUGAAGACGGCCUUCGGGUUGUAAAGCUCUGUGAUCCGGGACGAAAGAGCCUGAGGUGAAUAGCCUAAGGAAGUGACGGUACCGGAAAAGCAAGCCACGGCUAACUACGUGCCAGCAGCCGCGGUAAUACGUAGGUGGCAAGCGUUGUCCGGAAUUAUUGGGCGAAAAGCGCGCGCAGGCGGCUUCCUAAGUCCAUCUUAAAAGUGCGGGGCUUAACCCCGUGAUGGGAUGGAAACUGGGAAGCUGGAGUGUCGGAGAGGAAAGUGGAAUUCCUAGUGUAGAGGUGAAAUGCGUAGAGAUUAGGAAGAACACCGGUGGCGAAGGCGACUUUCUGGACGAAAACUGACGCUGAGGCGCGAAAGCGUGGGGAGCAAACAGG